GACGAACGCUGGCGGCGUGCUUAACACAUGCAAGUCGAACGGUAAGGCCCUUCGGGGUACACGAGUGGCGAACGGGUGAGUAACACGUGGGUGAUCUGCCCUGCACUUCGGGAUAAGCCUGGGAAACUGGGUCUAAUACCGGAUAGGACCCUGGGAUGCAUGUCCUGGGGUGGAAAGCUUUUGCGGUGUGGGAUGGGCCCGCGGCCUAUCAGCUUGUUGGUGGGGUGAUGGCCUACCAAGGCGACGACGGGUAGCCGGCCUGAGAGGGUGACCGGCCACCCUGGGACUGUGAUACGGCCCAGGCUCCUACGGGAGGCAGCAGUGGGGAAUAUUGCACAAUGGGCGCAAGCCUGAUGCAGCGACGCCGCGUGAGGGAUGACGGCCUUCGGGUUGUAAACCUCUUUCAGCACCGACGAAGCGCAAGUGACGGUAGGUGCAGAAGAAGGACCGGCCAACUACGUGCCAGCCGCCGCCGUAA
rnacentral:rRNA from 1 species